rnacentral:rRNA from 1 species
GGAAGAGUGGCGAACGGGUGAGGAACACGUAAGAAUCUGCCCCUCGGUCGGGGACAACUCUUGGAAACGAGAGCUAAUACCCGAUACGCUGUGGAAUGAAAGAAUUUCGCCGAGGGAUGAUCUUGCGUCUGAUUAGCUAGUUGGUGUGGUAACUGCACACCAAGGCGACGAUCAGUAGCUGGUCUGAGAGGAUGGACAGCCACAUUGGAACUGAGACACGGUCCAAACUCC